CCUACGGGUGGCAGCAGUGAGGAAUAUUGGUCAAUGGACGAGAGUCUGAACCAGCCAAGUAGCGUGAAGGAUGACUGCCCUAUGGGUUGUAAACUUCUUUUAUAUGGGAAUAAAAUGUUCCACGUGUGGGAUGUUGUAUGUACCAUAUGAACAAGGAGCGGCUAACCCCGCGCCAGAAGCGCCGGUAAUAUGGAGGAUCCGAGCGUUAUCUGGAUUUAUUGGGUUUAAAGGGAGCGUAGGUGGAUUGUUAAGUCAGUUGUGAAAGUUUGCGGCUCAACCGUGAAAUUGCAGUUGAAACUGGCAGUCUUGAGUACAGUAGAGGUGGGCGGAAUUCGUGGUGUAGCGGUGAAAUGCUUAGAUAUCACGAAGAACUCCGAUUGCGAAGGCAGCUCACUGGACUGCAACUGACGCUGAGGCUCGAAAGUGUGGGUAUCAAACAGGAUUAGAUACCCGAGUAGUC
rnacentral:rRNA from 1 species